rnacentral:rRNA from 1 species
GAUAUAAAGAGUUUGAUCCUGGCUCCGAAUGAAUGCGUUUGGUUAAUUUUACACAUGCAAGUUAAUAAAGUAAAUUAUUAGCGUACGGGUGAGUAAAUUAUAAAAAUUAUUUUAAAAAAAAGUUUAUAAAAGAUUAAGUAUUGAAUUUGCUAAAAAUUUACUCAGCUUAUGAUCUUUAGUUGGUUUUUGAGAAUGAUCAACCACACUGGAAUUGAAAAACGGUCCAGACUACAUUUAGGCAGCAGUGAAGAAUAUUGAACAAUGAGCGUAAGCUUGAUUCAGUUAACUCAAUUAUGUGAAGAAGAUUUUUUAUUGUAAAACAUUAACUUAGUUAAAAAAUAAUGAUUUUAUUAAGUUUAGUCCUGGCUAAUUUCGUGCCAGCAGCCGCGGUAAAACGAGAAGGGCAAGUGUUAUUCAAAUUUAUUGGGCGUAAAGAAUUAUUAGGUGGUAAAUUAUUGAAAAAAAAUUUUAAUUAAUAAAAAUUUUAUUUUUUAUUUUUUAGUUACUAUAUUAAUUUACUUGAGUUUUUAUAAAAAGGUUUUAGAACUUUAAGUGUAACAGUAAAAUGUGUUGAUAUUUAAAAGAAUUUCAAAGGUAAAUGCAAAAAUCUAAUUUUAAACUGACACUUUUUAAUUAAAGUAUAGGUAGCAAAAGGGAUUAGAUACCCCUGUAGUCUAUACCCUGAACUAUAAAUGUUUUUGUAUAACUAUAAAUUAUACAAAUAAAUUAACAUAAAACAUUUCGCCUGGGAACUACGAUCGCAAGAUUAAAACUCAAAGGAAUUGACGGGAAUUCAAACAAGCAGUGGAGCAUGUGGUUUAAAUCGAUAAUACGCGCGAAAUCUUACCAAUUUUUGUUUUCAGGUGUUGCAUGGCUGUCGUCAGUCCGUGCUUUGAAGUGUUUGGUUUAUUCCAAUAAACGGACGGAACUUUUGUGUGUUGUUAAUACUCAGUUUUUAAGGAUAUCUUAUUAAAGCGAAAACGAUGACAAGUCUUUAUGACCCUUAUAAGUUGGGCUACUAUCAUGUGCUACAAUAUUUUUGACAAAUUUAAAUUUUUAAUUAAAAAUAUAUAAAAAAAAAUAAACAAAUUAUUUUCUGAAACUCGAAAAUAUGAAGUUGAAAUUGCUAGUAAUCGUUUAUUAGAAUGUUUCGGUGAAUUCGUUCUUGAAUUUUGUACACACCGCCCGUCACGCUAUGGAAAUCAUAUUUACUUAAAGCUAUAAAAUGUUAGAGUAAAGAGAAGACUAAAGUGAAGUCGUAACAAGGUAGCCGUAGGGGAACCUGCGGCUGGAUUAAUAGAUUU